rnacentral:rRNA from 1 species
AUUCGCCCUUGUGCCAGCCGCCGCGGUAAUACAGAGGGUGCGAGCGUUAAUCGGAUUUACUGGGCGUAAUGCGCGCGUAGGUGGUUAAUUAAGUCAAAUGUGAAAUCCCCGAGCUUAACUUGGGAAUUGCAUUCGAUACUGGUUAGCUAGAGUAUGGGAGAGGAUGGUAGAAUUCCAGGUGUAGCGGUGAAAUGCGUAGAGAUCUGGAGGAAUACCGAUGGCGAAGGCAGCCAUCUGGCCUAAUACUGACACUGAGGUGCGAAAGCAUGGGGAGCAAACAGGAUUAGAUACCCUGGUAGUCCAUGCCGUAAACGAUGUCUAUUAGCCGUUGGGGGAUUUGAUCCUUUAGUGGCGCAGCUAACGCGAUAAGUAGACCGCCUGGGGAGUACGGUCGCAAGACUAAAACUCAAAUGAAUUGACGGGGGCCCGCACAAGCGGUGGAGCAUGUGGUUUAAUUCGAUGCAACGCGAAGAACCUUACCUGGCCUUGACAUAGUAGAAACUUUCCAGAGAUGGAAAGGUGCCUUCGGGAAUCUACAUACAGGUGCUGCAUGGCUGUCGUCAGCUCGUGUCGUGAGAUGUUGGGUUAAGUCCCGCAACGAGCGCAACCCUUUUCCUUACUUGCCAGCAUUUCAGAUGGGAACUUUAAGGAUACUGCCAGUGACGAACUGGAGGAAGGCGGGGACGACGUCAAGUCAUCAUGGCCCUUACGGCCAGGGCUACACACGUGCUACAAUGGUCGGUACAAAGGGUUGCUACACAGCGAUGUGAUGCUAAUCUCAAAAAGCCGAUCGUAGUCCGGAUCGCAGUCUGCAACUCGACUGCGUGAAGUC